UAGCUAGUUGGUGAGGUAAAGGCUUACCAAGGCGACGAUCUGUAGCGGGUCUGAGAGGAUGAUCCGCCACACUGGAACUGAGACACGGUCCAGACUCCUACGGGAGGCAGCAGUGGGGAAUUUUGGACAAUGGGGGCAACCCUGAUCCAGCCAUGCCGCGUGAGUGAAGAAGGCCUUCGGGUUGUAAAGCUCUUUCGGCCGGGAAGAAAUCGCAUGGGCCAAUACCCUGUGUGGAUGACGGUACCGGAAUAAGAAGCACCGGCUAACUACGUGCCAGCAGCCGCGGUAAUACGUAGGGUGCGAGCGUUAAUCGGAAUUACUGGGCGUAAAGCGUGCGCAGGCGGUUUUGUAAGACAGGCGUGAAAUCCCCGGGCUUAACCUGGGAACUGCGUUUGUGACUGCAAGGCUAGAGUACGGCAGAGGGGGGUGGAAUUCCACGUGUAGCAGUGAAAUGCGUAGAGAUGUGGAGGAACACCAAUGGCGAAGGCAGCCCCCUGGGUCGAUACUGACGCUCAUGCACGAAAGCGUGGGUAGCAAACAGGAUUAGAUACCCUGGUAGUCCACGCCCUAAACUAUGUCAACUAGGUGUUGGGUGGGUAAAACCAUUUAGUACCGUAGCUAACGCGUGAAGUUGACCGCCUGGGGAGUACGGCCGCAAGGUUAAAACUCAAAGGAAUUGACGGGGACCCGCACAAGCGGUGGAUGAUGUGGAUUAAUUCAAUGCAACGCGAAAAACCUUACCUACCCUUGACAUGCCAGGAACUUGCCAGAGAUGGCUUGGUGCCCGAAAGGGAGCCUGGACACAGGUGCUGCAUGGCUGUCGUCAGCUCGUGUCGUGAGAUGUUGGGUUAAGUCCCGCAACGAGCGCAACCCUUGUCGUUAAUUGCCAUCGUUUAGUUGGGCACUUUAACGAGACUGCCGGUGACAAACCGGAGGAAGGUGGGGAUGACGUCAAGUCCUCAUGGCCCUUAUGGGUAGGGCUUCACACGUCAUACAAUGGUCGGUACAAAGGGUUGCCAAGCCGCGAGGCGGAGCCAAUCCCAGAAAGCCGAUCGUAGUCCGGAUUGCAGGCUGCAACUCGCCUGCAUGAAGUCGGAAUCGCUAGUAAUCGUGGAUCAGCAUGUCACGGUGAAUACGUUCCCGGGUCUUGUACACACCGCCCGUCACACCAUGGGAGCGGGUUCCGCCAGAAGUAGGUAGCCUAACCGCAAGGGGGGCGCUUACCACGGCGGGGUUCGUGACUGGGGUGAAGUCGUAACAAGGUAGCCGUAGGGGAACCUGCGGCUG
rnacentral:rRNA from 1 species